rnacentral:rRNA from 1 species
GCUGAAUGUGGGGGUAAUUUAUCUCCGUGUUGUAGCUAACGCGUUAAGCACUCCGCCUGGGGACUACGGUCGCAAGACUAAAACUCAAAGGAAUUGACGGGGACCCGCACAAGCGGUGGAGCAUGUGGUUUAAUUCGAUGCAACGCGAAAAACCUUACCACUCCUUGACAUGGAGAUUAGAUCCUUCUUAACAGAAGGGCGCAGUUCGGCUGGAUCUCGCACAGGUGCUGCAUGGCUGUCGUCAGCUCGUGUCGUGAGAUGUUGGGUUAAGUCCCGCAACGAGCGUAACCCUCAUCCUUAGUUGCCAGCGGGUUAAGCCGGGCACUUUAAGGAAACUGCCAGUGGUAAACUGGAGGAAGGUGGGGAUGAUGUCAAGUCAGCACGGCCCUUAUGGGGUGGGCUACACACGUGCUACAAUGGUGACUACAAUUGGUUGCAAUGUCGCAAGGCUGAGCUAAUCCGUAAAAGUCAUCUCAGUUCGGAUUGUCCUCUGCAACUCGAGGGCAUGAAGUCGGAAUCGCUAGUAAUCGUGGAUCAGCAUGCCACGGUGAAUACGUUCUCGGGUCUUGUACACACUGCCCGUCACGCCAUGGGAAUUGGCUUAACUCGAAGCUGGUGCGCUAACCGAAAGGAGGCAGCCAU